UUUAUUAUUUUUUUUGAAGGGCCUCAAAAAUAAUAGUUGCCCCGGUCCUCGCAUUUUCUCUGAAAGUCCCUGACUAUAAUAACCUAUUCCAGAGUGCAGGCGUUAUGUAUAGAUUUAGAAAAAUAGAAUGGUUCAAGAACUUCAACAUUUUAAUUUUAUCAUCUCAGAUUCGUUUAAUUACUUUAACAUUGUUCACGGCGGCCGGAUACCGAGCGAUAUCGCUGUCGGCGUGCCACGCAGAAGAACCCGGGUUCGCGUCCCGAGCCUGGUAAUCCCUGAAAAGUUUUUUCGGGGUGCUGGGCUCGGCCCGGCGAUCCCCGUCCUUCACCACCCGGCCCCCCUCCACAGCGUGUGUAUGCAGCCCAUGGUUGGAACUGGCGUCGCCACUUAGUAAUCUCCCUGAUUGGAAAGGGGCAUAAAAAUUAAAAAAAGUUGUUCACAAUAUUAAUAUACUGCAUUCAGUUAGUCUAACUUAGUAAUUUAAAAUUUUUAAUGACAAUUUUAUAGAUAAAUAAUCAGCUUAUAAUACCCUAAAAAACUAGUUAUUUAUAAUGUUAUAAGCUGAUUAUUUAUCUGUUUUUAAUUAGAUCCUUUACACCCUGGUUUUAAUAUGGACAAUUUUAUAUUCCAUUCUUAUUUUCGUAUCCC
rnacentral:lncRNA from 1 species